rnacentral:rRNA from 1 species
UACGAAGGGGGCUAGCGUUGUUCGGAAUCACUGGGCGUAAAGGGCGCGUAGGCGGCCGAUCAAGUCGGGGGUGAAAGCCUGUGGCUCAACCACAGAAUUGCCUUCGAUACUGUUUGGCUUGAGACCGGAAGAGGUUAGUGGAACUGCGAGUGUAGAGGUGAAAUUCGUAGAUAUUCGCAAGAACACCAGUGGCGAAGGCGGCUGACUGGUCCGGUUCUGACGCUG